rfam:Ovis aries breed Texel chromosome 2, whole genome shotgun sequence.
UCCCUGGUGGCUCAGAUGGUAAAGCAUCUGCCUACAAUGCAGGAGACCCAGGUUCAAUCCCUGGGUCGGGAA